rfam:Paenibacillus sp. D9 Scaffold1, whole genome shotgun sequence.
GGGGGCGUUUAUGGAUUCGACGGGGGUAGUUCGAGCAUGGGUUGCGGGUAGUGGGGACGCGUCCGCUUUAUCAACGCUAAAGCCUAUUAAAUGGCAACCAACGUACUUCUUUAGCAGCAGCCUAAGAAACUGCACGCUAAGCUCCUCUCCAGCAUCGCCUAUGUGCCGGAUGUAGGGGCUCACCCUUAGUAGGCUACGCUGUCACAUCUCCGCCUGGGGUGUGCUGAAGAAGACAAUCAGGCUGACCCAGAUCGCAGCCGGUUACGGGGCGUCGGCCUGGGUGACAUCAAAUCCGUGACUACACCCGUAGAUGCCUGUGUGCCGUUGCCUUCGGACAGGGGUUCAAAUCCCCUCGCCUCCAUAC